CUACGGUGAAUACGUUCCCGGGUCUUGUACACACCGCCCGUCACACCAUGGAAGUUGGUUCUACCUUAAGUCGUUCUUUAGUGAACGCCCACGGUAGGGUCAAUGACUGGGGUG
rnacentral:rRNA from 1 species